GGGGCAGGGUGAGUCGGCCCCUAAGGCGAGGCUGAAAAGCGUAGUYGAUGGGAAACGGGUUAAUAUUCCCGUACUUGUCUUCAUUGCGAUGUGGGGACGGAGAAGGUUAGGYUAGCAGACUGUUGGAUGUCUGUUUAAGUUGGUAGGUGGGGAGCUUAGGCAAAUCCGGGCUCCUAUUAACACUGAGAGAUGAUGACGAGUUUCUACGGAAAUGAAGUAACUGAUACCACGCUUCCAGGAAAAGCCACUAAGCUUCAGAUGAAGAUAAACCGUACUGAAAACCGACACAGGUGGUCAGGUAGAGAAUACUCAGGCGCUUGAGAGAACUCGGGUGAAGGAACU
rnacentral:rRNA from 1 species